rnacentral:rRNA from 1 species
UACGGAGGGUGCAAGCGUUAUCCGGAUUCACUGGGUUUAAAGGGUGCGUAGGUGGGCUAGUAAGUCAGUGGUGAAAUCUCCGGGCUUAACCCGGAAACUGCCAUUGAUACUAUUAGUCUUGAAUACCGUGGAGGUCAGUGGAAUAUGUCAUGUAGCGGUGAAAUGCUUAGAUAUGACAUAGAACACCAAUUGCGAAGGCAGCUGGCUACACGAAUAUUGACACUCAGGCACGAAAGCGUGGGGAUCAAACAGG